GGCAGAUCAGCAGCCCAACAGGAUUCGUGUAGUGCCGAAUUGGAGGAGGCACCUUGCAUUGGGCUAAAGGAAGCCUAUGGCCACAAUGGCCUUCUCAUUUCCACUUUGGAGACAGACAAAAUUACUUGCCCUUCUGCAAAUAAGAAAGCUGGAAUUGCAUAAUCUGCUAACAAUGGAGAAUGCCAGUGAGACUGCAACCUGUCGUUUAUCACAGUACGGACAGAAACACAAGGAGUCUUGGGGCAUCCUAAAGACUACAAAUAAAUGUGUUAAUUUUUAAAGUUCUAUGAAAUUCUUUGUUGUUUUUUCUGCAAAACACUAAUGCCAUUAUUCCUCUGGAGACCAUAUUAAAUAAAUUUUAAAUUUAACAGUAAAUCAGAACAAAUUAGAAACAAGGAAUGCAAGCAAUAUCUAUAAUAAGCUCAUUUUAAGUUAAAAAGUAAGUGAAGCAAGUUCAGGCUCCUUUUCAUGUUACUGUACUGUAUUUUAUAAUAUAUGCUGCAAUUCUUCAACUGAACCAUCUUUCAGUAGCAGUUUCAUGGAGGAUCAACUAAAAAUAGGAAAAGGAAGGAAUAUAUUCACACCUUGCAUUAUUUAUAAAAAUAAUAAAGAUGGGAUAAAAAUAGGCUUUUUUAAAAAGCCUUCAAUAAAACAGAAAGUAAUGAGAUUUAGUUGAAAAGCACAGCAGGUUACUUUGAAUGUAACCUGUAACCUAAGAAAAAAUAACUAGAACAGUCAUAGAAAUGACUGAAUACUGAGAAGGAAAUACAAUUUCAGAAUACUGAAAAGGAAUGCUAAUUGCAACAAAAAUCUUGAUGAGAAGACAAAGUUCUAUAGUGGGAUGCAAAUUUUGCUAUAAAUAAGGGAAUCAGCUUCAUAAAAGUCUUAUUAUCUCUGAAUUUCACAAUUAUGUUUGCUAAUAUUUGUAAAAGAGCGUAAACUGAACUUAGCACUCUUCAUAGUACAAUGUUAAAGGUAAGCAAGUAGACCAAAUAUUUUAUCAAAAAGAUAACUUGACAUUUGAUAUUGAUUGAUUACAAACAAAACAAGUUUCUACAAUACACAGGUCUUUCCGAUCGAACCUUUUUCUCAUUUAUUUAGCAAUGAAUUGGAGGGUGUUCAGAAAAAUCUGCUCCCACAUAAACAUGCACUGAGUUCCAUCUUGAAUCAGGCAGUGGUAGGAGGCUUUGAACAAGUUAUUCAAUAAAUUAUUCACUAAGAAGAAUGAAAAAUAUGAAUAAUAUAAAAAAUAAAGUUUAUUGGUUAUGUGCUAAUUUAGAAUAACUAUCUAGUCUUAGCAAUGUUUUGCACAAGUAUGGUUGGUUGUUGGCUGCAAUAAGCAGGUCAUGAAGAAAAAUGUACCAUAUAAGACUGCAAUGGGAGAAACAGCUGCUAACAUGUAAGACAGCCUUGGUGUUUGGCACUGUUUCAUGUUAGCCAUGUUAGAGACCCCUAUGCUCAGCCUUGAGGUCUGGUCAUUGCAACUUUGAUGGUCCCUCAUAAUCACAGAUGUGACAAAGAGUAGAUCAGGGGUGUACUACAGAGAGCUAGCUGGGUGGACUGCUGGUGGUGGUUCCCCUCUUGUAAAUGUACUUACCUGGGGUUUGGGUGUGGUAUCGGAUGAGAUUUUGGGACACUGGAGGGGAUAUAGCUAAUGAUACUUCUGGUGGCUUCCAGGGACAUUUCUUUGCAGAAAAUCAGAUAGGAGAUCUUGUUUGGGACAUUAGGCCAUAGGGGCCAAGUGAGAUUACUGCUUGUAUAACAACCUCCCAGCCACAUUGCAACUUCUGUGGCUGAGCUGCUUUAUUCAGUGGCUUAUGGUGAAUGUGUAGCUUUGUCUGGAGACAUUUAUUUAUUUACCUAGUUACUCUUUAUUGUCCAGACUGUUGUAAUCAAAAUCAACUUCCAUUGGCUGCCAUAUUGUUGGCUGAGAAUGGAAAUGAUUUGAAGUGAAUGUUAAACAGAUUGUGUGAUGCAGCAAGGAAUAGGGUUCUGUCAAUCAAUGUAUCAAAGAUUCAUUAAUUGUAUCUGACAAGGAAAAUGGACAAUAGCAAGUUAAAAAUGAAUGACAAAAAGCUGGAGCAAGCAGAUGAAAGUAACAGAAUGAUUACUAAAGAUGGAAAAAUAUUUGGAGAAAUCUUAAAGCAUACAAAUACUGAUACUAUAGCUGGUGAAUAGCACGGGAAAGGAACAUAUAGCAAAAGAAGCAAAAAUGGUAAUGUAAAAGAGCAUAUCUUUCCCCCAGUUAUAUGGAAAUGAGUAUGUUAAGAAAUACCUAAAGUGCAAUGUAUAUGAGAAAUAAUAAAGUAAAUGUAUGUGGUAAUCCAAGGAGGAGUAAAAUCAAGAAUGAAUUUAUGAUGAAUGAAUAUGGAUUGAAUUCAAAGAUGAGGGACCAAUGUGAAACUAUGUAUGAUUUUGGUCACAUAAACAAAAUGAAUGAAGAAUGGAUCUUAAAAUAAAUGUAUCGUUAGGCUUCACCCAGAUUUAAAGUGUUGCAAGCAGAAAUUCAAAGCUAUAGUUCUGGUAAAAUUGCCUCUAACAACAACAUUGCAAUUUGUAGGCCAUAGCCUUUUGGUUACAAUGUAUAAAAUCAUUAAGUCUUUUCUGUCUCUUCAUAUAUAGAGUUCAGACUUAACACCAAAGACAACUGAAAUGUAGUAAUGGAAGAAAUGGAGUAUAACUAGUAUGGCUGGAAAGAGGUUUCCGGAAUCCCUGAGGAACGAACAUCUUGUGGUAUAAAAUAAAAAUAAAACAAGCACCAAGUUCAUUGUGUUUUGUUUGCGCUGAAGUGCCACUUAAACACAUCUGCUACUGUAAUGAGAAACUAUUAAACUGAACAGCUAUGGAUAAUGAAGUUGAGGCCAUUAAAGAAAUGGAAAGUACCUCUUGCAUUCAUGACAAAUACAAACUACUGAAAAGACUCUGCUUGUUUUCUUCCAUGACAAAGGCCACAAUGGCUUCCCUUUAAAAUGCAUUAUAAAUCUCAUUUUUGUUAAGUUAUAUGAACUCACCUUUCUUGGUUAAUGUUUACGUGUGUGUGUACACGUUUGUGUGUAUGUGUGUGAUAUACAGAUAGUCCUUGACUUAUGGCCACAAUUGGGACCAGAAUUUCUGUUACUA